CUAGCGCGACUGCUUCGUGUGCUGCCUCGAGUCGCGCCGCCACUACGCCCGCGCCGAGGCGGAGGCCGCUGCCACUCUCGACGCCCUCUGCUGCGCGCUCUCGCCGGCGGCGUUCGCAAAGCCUUGUCGCGGCGCUGCAAGUGUUGCCCCCCUCCUCCCCAAGGGCAAGGUGAAGGAAGAUGCCCGUGUGGUUCUUCUGCAGCUCGCAGCGAGGAUUGCUGUGUCCAACCUGCACAAGAAUGCCAAGAAGUCCUUCUCGGAGACGAUUAAGGACAUGUACUUGCACUACAACAAGAGAUCUGGGCUGCUUCUUUGUGGCUUCCAAACUUGAAAUGUUUGUUUGGAAGUUAGUUUAGUUUUUUGUUGUGGAUUCACAGCUUCUCACAUAUACCAUCCUCUUAGACCUUUAGAUUUCCAAAGAAACUAAAUGAUGAUAUGGUGGUAUGGUCUCAAUAGUACA